rnacentral:rRNA from 1 species
GACGAACGCUGGCGGCGUGCUUAACACAUGCAAGUCGAACGGAAAGGCCCUGCUUUUGUGGGGUGCUCGAGUGGCGAACGGGUGAGUAACACGUGAGUAACCUGCCCUUGACUUUGGGAUAACUUCAGGAAACUGGGGCUAAUACCGGAUAGGAGCUCCUGCUGCAUGGUGGGGGUUGGAAAGUUUCGGCGGUUGGGGAUGGACUCGCGGCUUAUCAGCUUGUUGGUGGGGUAGUGGCUUACCAAGGCUUUGACGGGUAGCCGGCCUGAGAGGGUGACCGGCCACAUUGGGCCUGAGAUACGGCCCAGACUCCUACGGGAGGCAGCAGUGGGGAAUAUUGCACAAUGGGCUGAAGCCUGAUGCAGCAACGCCGCGUGCGGGAUGACGGCCUUCGGGUUGUAAACCGCUUUCGCCUGUGACGAAGCGUGAGUGACGGUAAUGGGUAAAGAAGCACCGGCUAACUACGUG